rnacentral:rRNA from 1 species
CCUACGGGAGGCAGCGGUGAGGAAUAUUGGUCAAUGGACGAGAGUCUGAACCAGCCAAGUAGCGUGAAGGAUGACUGCCCUAUGGGUUGUAAACUUCUUUUAUAUGGGAAUAAAAUGUUCCACGUGUGGGAUUUUGUAUGUACCUUAUGAAUAAGGAUCGGCUAACUCCGUGCCAGCAGCCGCGGUAAUACGGAGGAUCCGAGCGUUAUCCGGAUUUAUUGGGUUUAAAGGGAGCGUAGGUGGAUUGUUAAGUCAGUUGUGAAAGUUUGCGGCUCAACCGUAAAAUUGCAGUUGAAACUGGCAGUCUUGAGUACAGUAGAGGUGGGCGGAAUUCGUGGUGUAGCGGUGAAAUGCUUAGAUAUCACGAAGAACUCCGAUUGCGAAGGCAGUUCACUGGACUGCAACUGACACUGAGGCUCGAAAGUGUGGGUAUCAAACAGGAUUAGAUACCCCGGUAGUC